rnacentral:rRNA from 1 species
CCUACGGGCGGCAGCAGUAGGGAAUCUUCCACAAUGGACGAAAGUCUGAUGGAGCAACGCCGCGUGAGUGAUGAAGGUUUUCGGAUCGUAAAACUCUGUUGUAAGGGAAGAACAAGUACGAGAGGGAAUGCUCGUACCUUGACGGUACCUUGCGAGAAAGCCACGGCUAACUACGUGCCAGCAGCCGCGGUAAUACGUAGGUGGCAAGCGUUGUCCGGAAUUAUUGGGCGUAAAGCGCGCGCAGGCGGCCUUUUAAGUCUGAUGUGAAAGCCCCCGGCUCAACCGGGGAGGGUCAUUGGAAACUGGAAGGCUUGAGUACAGAAGAGAAGAGUGGAAUUCCAUGUGUAGCGGUGAAAUGCGUAGAGAUGUGGAGGAACACCAGUGGCGAAGGCGACUCUUU